CCUACGGGAGGCAGCAGUGAGGAAUAGUGGUCAAUGGGCGAAAGCCUGAACCAGCCAAGUAGCGUGAGGGAUGAAGGUUCGAUGGAGCGUAAACCUCUUUUAUAAGGGAAUAAAGUGUGGGACGUGUCCGAUUUUGUAUGUACCUUAUGAAUAAGGAUCGGCUAACUCCGUGCCAGCAGCCGCGGUAAUACGGAGGAUCCGAGCGUUAUCCGGAUUUAUUGGGUUUAAAGGGUGCGUAGGCGGGUUUUUAAGGCAGCGGUGAAAGUCUGUGGCUCAAACGUAGAAUUGCCGUUGAAACUGGUGGGCUUGAGUAUGUUUGAGGCAGGCCGAAUGCGUGGUGUAGCGGUGAAAUGCUUAGAUAUCACGCAGAACCCCGAUUGCGAAGGCAGCCUGCCAGGCCGUGACUGACGCUGAUGCACGAAAGCGUGGGGAUCAAACAGGAUUAGAUACCCUUGUAGUC
rnacentral:rRNA from 1 species